rnacentral:rRNA from 1 species
GCUAAUACCGGAUAAGAAAGCAGAUCGCAUGAUCAGCUUUUAAAAAAGGCGGCGUAAAGCUGUCGCUAUGGGAUGGCCCCGCGGUGCAUUAGCUAGUUGGUAAGGUAAAGGCUUACCAAGGCGAUGAUGCAUAGCCGAGUUGAGAGACUGAUCGGCCACAUUGGGACUGAGACACGGCCCAAACUCCUACGGGAGGCAGCAGUAGGGAAUCUUCCACAAUGGACGCAAGUCUGAUGGAGCAACGCCGCGUGAGUGAAGAAGGGUUUCGGCUCGUAAAGCUCUGUUGUUGGUGAAGAAGGACAGGGGUAGUAACUGACCUUUGUUUGACGGUAAUCAAUUAGAAAGUCACGGGUUAACUACGUGCCAGCAGCCGCGGUAAAU